rnacentral:rRNA from 1 species
GAUCCUGGCUCAGGAUGAACGCUGGCGGCGUGCUUAACACAUGCAAGUCGAACGGGAAAUAUCUUAUUGAAACUUCGGUCGAUUUAAUUUAUUUCUAGUGGCGGACGGGUGAGUAACGCGUGGGUAACCUGCCUUAUACUGGGGGAUAACAGCCAGAAAUGACUGCUAAUACCGCAUAAGCGCACGGGGCCGCAUGGUCCUGUGUGAAAAACUCCGGUGGUAUAAGAUGGACCCGCGUUGGAUUAGCUAGUUGG